rnacentral:piRNA from 1 species
UCCUACAGCUUGGUGUUCUUCCUGCAGU